CUCCGGAACGAUAAAUCCAUUUUCAAAUAUAUAAUAAAAUUAACAACAUUGUUCAUAAAAUGUGUCCUCGAAAGCGUAGGCAUUAUGAUUGAUGCCAAUUUACUAGGUGGCAUAAUGUGUCCCUCCGUAACAGCAGAAAGUAUUUUCAUAGUAAUAUAAGGUAAAUAUAGAAUAACAAAACAUACACUAACAACAAGAGCUGUUCGUGUCACCUUUGUUGGGGAAUUUAUCCUUUUAUGAGAAGAUGUUUUGUGUUUUUUAUGACUAAAUAAUCUGUCUUUCACACGUUUCUUUGUACUUGACCCCUUUUCUAUCCCAACCAUUGUUGACGUUGAAACUGAGGUUUCCUUCGAAGUUGUUUUAAAUAUUUUUGACAAUCUGAAUUGGUCACGAAACGUCACGUGUCGCAUUAUC
rnacentral:lncRNA from 1 species